rnacentral:rRNA from 1 species
AACGUAGGCGGCGAGCGUUAUCCGGAUUUACUGGGCGUAAAGGGUGUGCAGGCGGGCUGUUAAGUGGUGUAUGAAAUAUCCCGGCUCAACCGGGAGAGGUUAUGCCAGACUGGCAGUCUAGAGAGCGAGAGAGGGACGUGGAAUUCCGGGUGUAGUGGUGAAAUGCGUAGAGAUCCGGAGGAACCCCAGAGGCGAAGGCGGCGUCCUGGCUCGCAUCUGACGCUCAGACACGACAGCAUGGGGAGCGAACGGG